CCCAGACUCCUACGGGAGGCAGCAGUGGGGGAUAUUGCACAAUGGGGGGAACCCUGAUGCAGCGACGCCGCGUGGGUGAAGGAGCGUUUCGGCGCGUAAAGCCCUAUCGGCAGGGAAGAAGGAGGACGGUACCUGACUAAGAAGCCCCGGCUAACUACGUGCCAGCAGCCGCGGUAAUACGUAGGGGGCAAGCGUUAUCCGGAUUUACUGGGUGUAAAGGGGGCGCAGACGGCAGCGCAAGCCAGGAGUGAAAGCCCGGGGCGCAACCCCGGGACUGCUCUUGGAACUGCGCGGCUGGAGUGCAGGAGGGGCAGGCGGAAUUCCUGGUGUAGCGGUGAAAUGCGUAGAUAUCAGGAGGAACACCGGUGGCGAAGGCGGCCUGCUGGACUGCGACUGACGUUGAGGCCCGAAAGCGUGGGGAGCAAACAGGAUUAGAUACCCCUGUAC
rnacentral:rRNA from 1 species